GUCCCGCCGAGCUCCCCCAUAAGAUCUGGGGUUGAGCUAUUGGUCCCAUCGACGCCAGAGACCUUCGCCUCGGCACGGGACCUCAUUGCCCUGACUGAGUCAACUCAGCCUCCACCCCCGGUACCUCCGGUGCGGGUAGCGUCCAGGGGCAAACCUAUGAUGACAGCGCCGUCUCGGGACUCACGCUCGCUGUCGAGGUCCCGACACCAUGGUCGCUCAAGAUCCCGCCGCCGCUCGCAGUCCCGGCACCGCUCCCCUCGGCGGUACCGGUCGUACUCGCGGCACCGAUCGGCCUCCAGACGGUCACGGUCUGGUUCCAGCCACCGAUACCGGCACCGGGACUCUAGGAGCCAGUCCCGCCGCCGAUCAGCGCACCGGUCGACCUCCCGGCACCGAGCUGGUGGCAGGUCCCGGUCCCGGUCGACCUCCCGACACCGCGUCGGUGGCAGGUCCCGGUCCCGAUCCCGGCACCGAGUCCAAGACAGACCCCGGUCCCGAUCCCGGCACCGGUAUGACUCCCGGUACCGGUCCCCGGCACCGAGAACAUCUUCGGCGCCAGGACGCGGAGACUCUUACCAGCCGCGGUCGGCCCCUCCAUGGCCUUCCAGACAGCCGUCGGUGUCAUCGCAGGCGGACAGUGUAUACGCGCUGGGCACUGACAGACAAGCGGCGCUUUUUCAAGACCCUCCGCAACAGGACCAGGGUCCGCAGCAGUGGGGGUUCUGGACACCCUGGGCGUACCAUCAAGCCCAGGGCCCCCAACAGCUUCCUCCUAGGCCUGCAACGGCAGAGCACAGGGCGCCGGAGGCGUCGUUGUCUCGCCCCCCUCCCUCCCCGGACGGGGAGGACGGGUCAAAGCAACAGGACCCUGAUCUCCCUCCUGAGCCAGAGGCGAGGGCUGAGGCGGACCCCCCGCUGGACACUCUCUUGCCGGGGGUCUCCUCAUCGUCUUCUCCCGAUGAGGCGGUGGCUGGCACUUCCUCCAAUAGCCCUCCUCCGCUAGAUCUCAGGGCACAUCAGGACCUCCUCAGGCGCGUAGCACAGAAUCUGAGCCUGCAAGCUGAGGAGGUCUCUGAGAUCGAGGACCCCGUCGUCAGCAUCCUCUCCUCCGAUGCUCCCACCAGGGUCGCCCUACCCUUCAUUCGGACGAUCCAGGCCAACGCCAAUACGAUCUGGCAAUCUCCGGCCUCCAUCCCCCCUACUGCACGGGGCGUCGAAAGGAAGUACAUGGCCCCCUCCAAGGGCUAUGAGUACCUCCAUAUUCACCCGACACCAUGCUCCCUGGUGGUACAGUCGGUGAACGAGAGGGAGCGUCACGGACAGGAAGCCCCAGCCCCCAAAUCCAAGGAGGCCAGGCGUAUGGACCUCCUCGGCCGCAAGGUUUAUUCGGCUGGGGCCCUUCAGCUCAGGGUUUCCAAUCAGCAAGCCCUUCUUAGCCGCUACGCCUUUAACUCUUGGGUGGCAGCGGAUAAGUUCAAAGAGCUGCUGCCACAAGAGGCGCGUCAAGAAUUUGCGGCGAUUCUUGACGAGGGCAAGAAGGUUGCACGAACCUCGUUGCAGGCCUCCUUGGACGCUGCAGACUCGGCUGCCCGUACCCUCGCCUCGGGGGUGACGAUGCGCCGCAUCUCCUGGCUUCAGGUUUCUGGCCUUCCACCGGAGCUCCAAUACACCAUCCAGGACCUCCCGUUCGAAGGCCAGGGCCUGUUCUCGGAGAAGACAGACCCCAGACUGAAAAGUCUUAAGGACAAUCGGGUCAUUAUGCGCUCCCUUGGGAUGCACACGCCUGGGACGCAACGCAGACCCUUCCGGCCGCAGCAACAGCAGCAGCGUCGGCCGUACCCCCAGUUCCGCCAGCGGCAGGACCUUAAUAGGCGCCGCGGCAGAAAUGGCAGGCGCAGGCCGUCGGGCAAUCAAGGGGGGCAAAACCAAAGCUCCUCUAAAGCCCCACCUGGACCCAAACCUUCGUUUUGAAGGUGCGCCCGAGGGCGUAAUACCAGUAUCCCCCAUGGAUCCUUCCCCCCCGUUUUCCAACCGCCUUUCGUUUUUCCUCCAGGCGUGGUCCCGAAUAACAUCCGACCGCUGGGUCUUACGCACGGUGCAGACGGGAUACCGUCUGCAGUUUGUAUCUUUUCCUCCCUCCCGCCCCCCACCCUCAUCCCUCUUCAGGGACCCCUCUCACGAGCAAUUCCUCCAACAGGAGGUACAGACGCUCCUCGACAAAGGAGCUAUAGAGGCGGUUCCGGAAAACGAGAGAAGCAAGGGGUUUUAUUCCCACUACUUUCUGAUCCCCAAGGCCAAGGGAGGGCUCAGGC
rnacentral:lncRNA from 1 species